AGGAAUACCUGGCUAGUGAGAUUUCAUGAUCAUGCAGGUGGUUUUCCCAAGGUGAGGGUUAGCCAGUGCACUGCGGGUGUGCUGACCCUGUGAUUUCCCCAGAUGGGGAUACUCAGAUACUCAGCUGCAAUUUAUGGUAGUGGGGGGGCUGCAUUCAUGCUAUCCCCUA